AGGAGGGGCGCUAAAGCAAAUGUUAAUGAAGCAGCAGGUUCCUCUGUGUGGAAUGUCUUUCAGGGAUUUCAGGCGUGUUUUCACAAAUGAAGCCCUACAUCUGGUUGGCGUUUGGAUGAAACAGCAUCAAGAGAUAUUCUCAGUGUCUUAAGAUGGAGCUUCAUUCCUUAAUUUGAAACGUUCCAGGGCAUGGUCGGGUCCCUUUAAUGUGCCAUACAUGUGCGCUAUGGGCAGUUAGCAGAUAAAAAUGGACAAAGCACAAUUAUCUCCAGUGCGGAGAGAGAACAGAACUUUUCAGAGGUUAAAUGACAGCUGGACC